rnacentral:rRNA from 1 species
UACAUGAGUAGCUAGCGUUAAUCGUCUUUAUUGAGCGUACAGAGUGAAGCGGCGGUCAUAACAAUUAAUAACUAUUUUUGUAUAAAAAUAUAUUAAUAAAAAGGACUAGUGAUUUUUUUUUAUGUAAGUUGAGCUUGUAAACUAGUGAUAAAAUACAGGGAGUUUACAGGAACAUUCAACGCGAAAGCGACUAACAAUUAAAAAAUGACGCUCUAUCACGAAAGUAUAGGUAACGAAAAGGCAUUUUAAACCUAGUAGUCUAUACUGUAAAAGAUGAGUAUUUAAUACUAAGUUAACACAAAAAUACUCCGCUUGGGUAGUAACGCCGCAAGUCAGAAACUUAACAGAAUUGGCGGGGACUUGUUCAAACGGUGGAGCAUGUGGUUUAAUGCGAUAAUCCACGUAAAACCUUACCAGCGUUAAAUUUUUUUCUUUAGUUAAGCUUAAUGGCUGAAAUUUUUUAGAAGAAAAGAGAUGGUAUUGCAUGGCUGUCGUCAGUUCGUGUUUUGAAAUUUAGAAUUAAGUUUUAUAAACGAACGCAACCCUUGUUUUGUAUUUUUAAUACGAAAUAAAUGACUAAGGAAUUUUUCAUUUUAGAUAUAAGGCUGAAGUCAAGUCCUUACGGUCUGCGUACGCUGGGCUACACACGUGUUACAAUGGUAAAAACAAUAGAAAAAUAAAGUUCAAGCUUUAGUUUUUAAAAAAUUACCACAGUACGAAUUGUUUUCUGAAACUUGGAAGCAUGAAGAAGAAAUCGUUAGUAAUCGCAAAUAAGUAUGCUGCGGUGAAAUAUAAGUCAAGUCCUGCACACACUGCCCAUCACGCUCAAAGAGUUUUAAAUCUGGAAGCUGAAGUUAGAAUGUGACCCUACCCAUUUUUUUUUUUAAAAAAACUCAUCUUUGCACGAGUUGCGUUGAUGUUCUUAACAAGCUUUCUUGUUGUCGGCACACAGAAGAGUGAAGGCGAAACCAUUUGAAAUGAUCGGAGUGAAG